UCUCACCCCUGGGUCCGUCGC
rnacentral:miRNA from 1 species